AUUGUGAUGGGUGCUGCUCAUUUUUCCAGUCCUUAUACGAAGUUGGAAUACAUCGGUGCCAUGGGCUGGGGUGCUACCUUUGUACAUGGGCCUCCCCCAUGGGUGCGUGAUGCGGGGACAUGAUGUGCCUCCUGGGCUAAUGUUACAGAUCGAUUUGCAUUUACCUCGUUAGAGUUAGACCUGUCAUCACCUUCUUCCUGGCGCACUGGACAUGGGACGGGGCCCCAUGGAUGGGAUGGAGUUCUUCUUCGAAGAUGACGAUUCAGGGUCGGAUGCAGGGUCUAUCUUACAGGGGGGAGUGGCUGCAGUGGAAUUGGCUGUUGCUUCUAUUCAUGGGGCUCGCACAGGCUAUGGAGAUUAGAUUUCUUCCCAUGCAAACAGUGGAGGAAUGGAGUCCGGAGAGAACGGAGGAGGACGGCACCCAGAAGAGACAAUCAUGACAGAGGAGAUUAUCGAUUCAUACAUCUGUGGUAGCGAGGUGGUAGCCGAUUCAAUGUCCCCUGAAAAUAUGAGCGGCCAAAGAAGAUGAGAUGCAGAGGGAGUGGUCGUCUCAAAAUCACAGGGCUCCUGCUGGACACGAAAGGAAGUUUACUUGUGAUCUAAUCUAUUAUUUUGUGACUCUGUAUAAUGGUAGCACAUAAUGGAGUAAACGAGUCUUCAUGUGAAAUUGACAAAAUUAGGAUCAGUUAGGAUGCAGAUGAGAGGGAGAACAAUCCCAGCAGAGUGCCUCCUGCGCUUGAGGCUUCGAUACGUUCUUAUGCUGAUAACAAGGCAGAUACUGUUGUUAAUCCAGCUAGCUUCGCUUCCGUCGAAGAAGUAUAUGAGUUUUACAACUUGUACUCUUUGGGAGACUGACUUUGGUGUCCGGUAUGCAAAGAGCCGACUCAAUGUCCAUGGGAUAAAGUGCAUGCAUGCGCGGGUAAACCACUGCAGUCCAAUAGCAGAUCAAAACGGUGUGGCUGCACUGCUAUGAUGUGGCUACUGAGAUCGGAUGAUAACGGUUCGUACGGGUGCGAGCAUAGGAUUGCGUCGCUGUGGGUCAUGAUCUUGAAGAGGGUUGCGGCCACUUCGACCCCUUGUUGGCGUUAAUCCCACCGAGCCAUGCAGCAAGUUAUGAAUCGAAGCACAUGUUCGACGAUAUUUGACGGCGCUGCGGCAACUGAUGGUGCAUGCUCUGAAGACGAAGAAGUCACGAACAAGCCUGCCAAAAAAGCCAGGAUAGUUUGACCGCCUAGUGUAGAUUUUAGAGCAGGAUUGGUUAGCCCUGUUUCAUAUCUUGUGCACGAUAUACUGGUGUGUGACUUGUCCUAGUAAUUGCCUAUGUAAUUGCGUUUAUCACUC